CCUACNGGUCGCACCAGUGGGGAAUCUUGGACAAUGGGCGAAAGCCCGAUCCAGCAAUAUCGCGUGAGUGAAGAAGGGCAAUGCCGCUUGUAAAGCUCUCUCGUCGANUGCGCGAUCAUGANAGGNCUCGAGGAAGAAGCCCCGGCUAACUUCGUGCCAGCAGCCGCGGUAAUACGAAGGGGGCUAGCGUUGUUCGGAAUUACUGGGCGUAAAGAGCGCGUAGGCGGAUAGAUAAGUCAGAGGUGAAAUCCCGGGGCUCAACCCCGGAAUUGCCUUUGAUACUGUUUAUCUUGAGUGCAGAAGAGGUAAGUGGAAUUCCGAGUGUAGAGGUGAAAUUCGUAGAUAUUCGGAGGAACACCAGUGGCGAAGGCGGCUUACUGGUCUGCAACUGACGCUGAGGCGCGAAAGCGUGGGGAGCAAACAGGAUUAGAUACCCGCGUAGUC
rnacentral:rRNA from 1 species